rnacentral:rRNA from 1 species
CUUUUGGGCCUGAAGUCAAGCAAGAAA